UACGGGGGGAGCAAGCGUUGUUCGGAUUUACUGGGCGUAAAGGGCGCGUAGGCGGCUUGACAAGUCAAAGGUGAAAUCCCUCGGCUCAACUGAGGAACUGCCUUUGAAACUGUCAGGCUUGAGGCCGGGAGGGGGUAGCGGAAUUCCCCAGUGUAGCGGUGAAAUGCGUAGAUAUUGGGAGGAACACCAGUGGCGAAGGCGGCUACCUGGACCGGUACUGACGCUGAUGCGCGAAAGCGUGGGUAGCAAACAGG
rnacentral:rRNA from 1 species